UACGUAGGGGGCAAGCGUUGUCCGGAAUCAUUGGGCGUAAAGAGCGCGUAGGCGGCCCAGUAAGUCCGCUCUGAAAGUCAGGGGCUCAACCCCUGGAUGCGGGUGGAUACUGCUGGGCUAGAGUCCGGAAGAGGUGAGUGGAAUUCCUGGUGUAGCGGUGAAAUGCGCAGAUAUCAGGAGGAACACCGAUGGCGAAGGCAGCUCGCUGGGACGGUACUGACGCUGAGACGCGAAAGCGUGGGGAGCAAACAGG
rnacentral:rRNA from 1 species